ACUCCUACGGGAGGCAGCAGUAGGGAAUCUUCCACAAUGGGCGCAAGCCUGAUGGAGCAACACCGCGUGAGUGAAGAAGGGUUUCGGCUCGUAAAGCUCUGUUGUUAAAGAAGAACACGUAUGAGAGUAACUGUUCAUACGUUGACGGUAUUUAACCAGAAAGUCACGGCUAACUACGUGCCAGCAGCCGCGGUAAUACGUAGGUGGCAAGCGUUAUCCGGAUUUAUUGGGUGUAAAGAGAGUGCAGGCGGUUUUCUAAGUCUGAUGUGAAAGCCUUCGGCUUAACCGGAGAAGUGCAUCGGAAACUGGAUAACUUGAGUGCAGAAGAGGGUAGUGGAACUCCAUGUGUAGCGGUGGAAUGCGUAGAUAUAUGGAAGAACACCAGUGGCGAAGGCGGCUACCUGGUCUGCAACUGACGCUGAGACUCGAAAGCAUGGGUAGCGAACAGGAUUAGAUACCCUGGUAGGAUAGCG
rnacentral:rRNA from 1 species